UUAACCUGGUUGAUCCUGCCAGUAGUCAUAUGCUUGUCUUAAAGACUAAGCCAUGCAUGUCUAAGUAUAAAUAGUAUACAGUGAAACUGCGAAUGGCUCAUUAAAACAGUUAUAGUUUAUUUGAUAAUACCACUAUAUGGAUAACUGUAGUAACAUAGAGCUAAUACAUGCUGUAACGCCCGACCCUUCGGAAG
rnacentral:rRNA from 1 species